UCUGCAAAUAUACCUUUCACCUAUAUCUUGCCUCCGUCACAAUAUGAACCUGAAAAUGAAAUAUCACUGUCUGAUGCUGAAAGCAGCACAUUCGUGUACAUGGACAAAGUGACCCUCUCUUGUUGUUUGUUAAGCUAAAAACCAUUUUUUUUUUACCUAAACACAAAGAUGAUGAAACAGGGCUGGGACGCCAAUGCUGCAUCCAGGAUUUUUGACAUUGCAGUAUUCGGGACACACAUAACGGAUGUUUUUCGUCUGCGACAACACAUUAGAUUUGUUUAUUCAAGUACACUAUAAGUUUAAGCACAGUAGGCAUUACAUAGGGGGGCAAAACAAUUUAUAAAACAACGUAACACAACUUCUUAGCAUGCAUAACUAAAGAACAGUACAGUACAGUAAAACUUCGUUAAUAUGUACUUGCUUAAUAACUUCAGUUUAAAUAUAGUUGUGAUGAAUCCCCCACCCUGUCGCCAUUGAGCCUAAUGUAUUGGCUGGUGCUUAAGCCGUAGUCGCUUAACGCAUGCCAAAUGGUUAGCGUAGUAUUUACCCCAUAUUUCGGCACCUACAAGUGCAUAAUCGCAAAAUGUCAUGCGCGCAGAUGUAGAUAAAUUUCGGCACAUGAACCUUUCCAAAAAACUGCAUGGGUACCGCCCGUGACCUUUGGUCUGGAUCGAAUCAAGUGGAGACAAAUUAACGGAAGUCUACUGUAUAAAGUCUUAAUUGCAACUACAUUUAUGCAACAAACUGUCACAAGUCGAAAUAAACACAGCGGUGCAUCUGUUACAGGGACAAAAAAGAGAAACAUGAUUUAAGCUAUGUUAGUAAAUUACCCUUCCAGAAUACCAAAAAAGCCACUCUUACUGCAAGAAGACACCUGGUAAGCCAGAAGAGACUCAAAAACAAAUAAUGGGUGGCGACGCCACCUUGUGAAGAUUCCGCACCAGCCUGCCGUGACGUCAUAUAUUUCGACUUCGUCUGCUCAGGACAAGUAAAAUUUUUCUGAGUAAAACUGGACUGCAUUGUAUUAUAACAGAGCCAAAGAGAAGUAAAGAAGUUUUAAGGACUUUUGCCUACCCACAGCGGCUGAAAUGUGAAAAAAUACUUUGCAAUCUGUGACUUCACACUAACAUACCGAUUCUGGAGCAUUGCCACAAAAUUAAAAAAUUUAACUUUGAUUAUCAUUUUCCCUUUUAAUUGUCAACCUAUUUACGUGAAUUCCACAGUAGUAGAGUUCUUUAAGAAUACUUUAUCAAUGAAAAUUGAUUCAGUGUUUCUGUGAAGUGUUCCAUUCAAGUGUGCCAAGGAAUGUCAAGGGACCGCGCCACCUGUACGUAGCUCGGUGCAGAGAAAAGCAGCAAGAGUAACAUGUGCUGUAACAGUGGAAUGCAUGUUUGACAUCAGUGUGAUCAAACAGCAACAAAAUAUUUUUACAUCUCAAAAUGUGAGGAAAACAACAUACUGCACUUUGUUGCAUUUGCAUACAGCAUCCCAGUGGCUAUAGCAUUCACCUGUUGAGCACUGUUACGGAUUCGAUUCCUGGCCACGGUGGCUGCAUGUGCAUCAACUAUUGGGUACUGGCUUUUGAAAACCCCAAUGAGUGAAAAUUAGUCUGGAGCCCUUCAUAAGGGCCACUUUGACAUAACCUAUGUGUUGCUUCGGGUGGUUAAACCCAAUCGACCAAUCAAUAAAUCAGUUACUUUGCUACAGUGCUCAAUUUGUACUCAGGCUGGUUAACCAGCAGCCACCUAUAUGCCCACCUGUUCUGAACUGGAAGCCACAUAUGUAUUUUUUAAUCUGUCCCCGUCUUUGUUUUGAUUUACAGUAGUGGCUGCCUGUGGAAAUCAGAUUGCAGCAGCAACUUCAGCAGGAAGCGAGGCCCUCCAGCAACCAGGGGUACCAGCGAAGCCACUGGCUACCGAGUCCUCCGCAUCUCUGGCUCAGCGGCUCAAGGCCAUGACUCCCCGUUCACGGGAGGGGGCUCGACUCGUCUACCUUGGUCGGAGUCUGAAGGAAGAGGCCAUUGCAGAUGAGGUGCAGAUGGCACAGCUUAGGGCCUCCGCCGCCUCCAAAGCCCAGCGGCUGGCAUCUGCAGAGAGAAGGCAUCAGGCCUGGGCCGAGCUAAGUUCACAUACUGGAGAUGCUGAACCAAGAAGCCCUUUAAAGGAAGCCAACCAGAAGACUCAAAGUUCUGCAGAAAGUGGCAAAGAUGAAAUACUGGACGACAUGGCGUAUUGGCCACCAAUGAAAUUUUUUAUGGACGACAAAGAGAAUGAAGACUCAUCGUAGCGAUUGUAGUAGUCUUGUACAAAGGGUGUACUUAUCCUGCACUUGCUUGCAUCAUUUUAAUUGUUUUUAGCUUUUGACUUCAGAAUUCAGACAUUUAUUAAGUGCAACUUUUAUUAAAAUUUUUGCAACUUCUGCUCAUGACCAGAACUUCUGCUAGGCUGUGUGGCAAGGUGUUCCUAGUGCACCAAGCUCUACAAGAUGGGCGAAAGACUUCUCACUAUCCAGAAUUCAGAAGUGCUACCGAAGGUACACUGUAUUUCAAAAACAUGGAGCAAGAAUUAUUCAGGAGGCGAAACAAUGCUCUCCCCUGCAACUCAGCAAGGUCACUAUGCAUGGCACAGCGCAAAGGCGCCAUCUCAUGUGCGCACUUUAUAGUGAAAGGUAUAGGGUGAGGAGAGCAGGCACUGAUUCAAGGUCAUUCUGGCAUUCGCCGCUCUUAAGCCGAGGGAGAUACGUUCUUAAUACAAGUUGCAAAACAACACAAGGCACGAUUUCUUUUUUCAUCUCGAAAGCUAGUACUAUUGGUGAGAGCACAUUUACUUUCUUCUUAUUUUUUGCAAGAAUAUAUCUUAGGGACGCAUUAGCUGGAAAAAGCAAUACAUUUGGCACCUUCCAUGACUUUUUAUGCAUUGCAUUAAGAGCUAUGCAUUGUUGGGUAAGACAAUGUCUUAUUUUCUUACAAACUUAUCUAACAAGCCCAUGUGGGGUGAUGAAUCAAAUGCCAGUGGCAUGUACAUUCGCGAUGGCAGAGUUACCGGUACUGUAAUGUCUGGUGUUCUUGUCUGCAGUGUCGCUGCUACUGGUGCUUGCACUCGAACGGUUCCAAGCAAGAAUAAAAGAACUACUGUCCGCAGACUCUAGGCAAACAUCAGAGGCGACAGGACACACGGUUGAUUCUUUACAGGUCUUUUCAGCUUACUUCGCCUUCAAGCUCACCAUAGUUCUGAUUUCGCUAUCUGUCACUCUCCAUAAAUUGAUUCUUGCAGACAUAGUCAUGUGAGCUCCCAAUCUUUCCUUUGAAUGGUACGAGCCCAUGCUUGCAAUCGUGAUGGCUCAUCAGGAUAUUUAAGGAUAAUUACCUUUUCCCUGCAGGGUGCGUAACCAUUGCUAUAAUUCAGUACAAUGCAUUUGCACCCCAUCCUCAAAUCAUACAAAUGGAAGGUGCUCGCCAUUGCUGUCAUGGAGAUCCCGAUCUCAUGGUCAUGUGGGCAUGAGAAGCCUGCUGAAAGUACGUGCAAUAUAAUACAAGAGCAACUGCGAAAGCACUUCGCUACUAAGAAAAGCGUCAGUCAGUGCUAGCCACAAAAGCUUGCACAGCUUGUCACACCCUGCCUGGAUGAAAACAAUCGCAGCAUUGUUUCACGAGGACACCUACCACACAAUCAAAUAGCAUGCAAGUCUGUAACUUUGCGGCAUCAGCAGGCAUUGUCUGCUGGCGAGUUGCUCCUAACAUUUCUUUUGAGGCUUUGCGGCAUGUAAUUGGAGCAGUAUUAGGAAUAACUAUGCAUGAAACUGAGCAAAGUUUGCUACGUAUGGAGCACUCGCAUAAUUUUUUUAGUGCCACUUCCAUCGAAGCACAUCCAAUGAAAAUACGCCAGCAGCACCGUCUCUCAUGAUGCACUGGAAACAUUUGGUUUCCUCCUCAUCCGGCGUGAUGCUACCUUGCCGCUCGAGUGCAUUGGCAUUGUUGGUUGGCACAGAUGAAAAGAUUCCUCUCCUGAAUAAUUCUAGCUUCGUGGUCGAAAGCUGUUGGCAAGGCCCCUAUAAUGUUUCCACGUUUUCAAAAAAGUGAAGUGUGAGAGAGACCCCGCUCACCUCCAUAUUUUUUAGCUGCAAGACUUACUGUGGUGACCCCACAGAAAGGUCCAUCGAGAGAUCUUGUCACUCAUGGAGUGGCUUCACAACUUUUGACAUAGCCUGUGCACAACAAGCUCCAUGAAAACACAAGCUGGCUCGGGCCAGACUUGCGGUGACCAGUAAACUCUUCAAAAGCUGGUGCAUACCACGGUUAGUAAACUGACUAGACUGGUUGGUGCAGGCUUUGAUCAGUGUAAGCAAGUACAGGUGUGAGAUGGUGACUGAGAUGGAAAGUCCUCUGAAUCAGCAAUUUUUUAUUGUUUGUACAGGUGCAAGUUUUCUCGUGUUUGUAAAUAGUAACUAUAAAAGUCAUUUAAUGCUCUUUUUGUCUCACUGUUGCAUUUCUUUUUUACCAUUGAAACCAUGCAGUCAUUUCUAAAUUUACAUUAUAAGAAAGACCGAGUCAAGCUAUUCCGUUAGAAACUGUUGUAAUAUCAAAAUAAACUCGUGUUUGAAAUAAAAUAUUUGAAGUCCUCUGCAUAUAACUUGAGGAUGACCAACAAUGUGUCAUCUUCAUUAUGCAUUGUACCAUGCAUGUAAACUUUUGCACUUGCCACCUAUUACAGUUCCCACAAGGUCGCAUUUUUCUCCACGCUAUAUCUUGUCAUUGCAUGCCUCGCACAUUUGCAAUGGUUUUAAUGAUCAGGAACAACGCCCACAGGUGCUUUUCCAUGCAAAG